CCGACUGUGGCAAGAGAGGAAAGAGAAAAGAGAGGAAAGAGAAAAGGAGAAACGGCCGCAUCAUCACCUGUUGUUCCUGUCGAUUGAUGAUUGGAGCAGCGAAUGUGGACAGAAGGGAGUGGAUGCAGAAGGGAAACAUUGGUAGUGCUGAGUGGAAGACUAGUGAUUUUGUUGUGAUGCUGUUUAAUAAACAACAAGUCCCAGUCUGCCUCUCAGCACAAGCAGUAUGCUUCCAUCUGUACGUCAGCUUGAACCUACAUGAAUCAGUGGUUCCAAAGCCUUCAGUGUUGGAUGUUCCCGUUUAUGCACUGGCCUCAUUCAGACACCGACCCUUUAAAUCACACUUAUCAUGUUCUGAUCCAGCCCUGCUGUGCCUGUGCAUAUGGUCUUAAUGCUUAGCAGUGUUAAUUAUGAUCAGAAUUGCAAUCAAAAGCAUAAUUUAACCAGGAAUAUUAAUGGAAAUGAGUCAUGCAAAUGAAACCUUGGGAGGAAAAACCUGCUAUAAUGCCACACAGCAGCACAUUCUGUUCAAUACGGGCUGAAAUAACCUCGUAUUACUAGUCUCUUCACUUCAUGUCUAAAUGUGUAUUUUUCAUUUUAAUCCACUUUCAUUGGAAUUAAUGCCUUUUGUGUCUGUGGAAUAAACCUUGACUGUGAAGCUCC